rnacentral:rRNA from 1 species
UACAGAGGGGGCAAGCGUUGUUCGGAAUUACUGGGCGUAAAGAGCUCGUAGGCGGCUUGUCACGUCGGGUGUGAAAGCCCGGGGCUUAACCCCGGGUCUGCAUUCGAUACGGGCUAGCUAGAGUGUGGUAGGGGAGAUCGGAAUUCCUGGUGUAGCGGUGAAAUGCGCAGAUAUCAGGAGGAACACCGGUGGCGAAGGCGGAUCUCUGGGCCAUUACUGACGCUGAGGAGCGAAAGCGUGGGGAGCGAACAGG